rnacentral:rRNA from 1 species
GUGAACCUGCUGCCGGAUCAUUAACGAUCAUACCAAUCCACUUUCAGUGGUUAUAUUAGUCCUCAAAGGUGGCAUGCUUCUGCCAUGCAGGCACAGGGUAGUUGUCCCGCUCUGUGCCUGGCUAAUUUGUGGGCGAAAAACGGCUUUGUUGGCCUCUAAGUCUCCCUGAGCAGUUGUAUGCUUCUUUGUCCGUGGCUGUGAUGAAGGGAAACGGUACGUGGUUUUCGUAAUCGCGAGAGUUAAUGAGCAUGGUGCCGCCAACACAAAACCCCAAUUUUACAAAUUUUUCAAGAGAAUAUUUUUAGUCUUAUCGGUGGAUCACUCGGCUCGUAGAUCGAUGAAGAACGCAGCCAACUGCGAUAAUUAGUGCGAACUGCAGAUAUUUUGAGCACUAAAGUUUCGAAUGCACAUUGCGCCAUUGGAUUUUAUCCUUUGGCACGUCUGAUUCAGGGUCGUAAAUACAAAACCCCAAGCUAAUGGUGGUGAUAUGACCUGUGCGGACCGCUGUCUCUUUGGCCUAGCACGUGUUUCUUGUGCAGCCUCUUGGCCAAUUUUGACAGCGCUCCCACUCGAGAUAAUGCUGUCCAGUGUUUGGUGACAUUGCUGUAAGUCCUAGCGAUUCUUAUGGACGUAAGGCUUUGAAGCCAAACGCAGAGUAGUCGAUUUUUCGACCUGAAUCUGACGUGAUUACCCGCUGAACUUAAGCAUAUCAGUAAGCGGAGGAAAAGAAACUAACAAGGAUUC